rnacentral:rRNA from 1 species
GAUGAACGCUGGCGGCGUGCCUAAUACAUGCAAGUCGAGCGAACGGACGAGAAGCUUGCUUCUCUGAUGUUAGCGGCGGACGGGUGAGUAACACGUGGAUAACCUACCUAUAAGACUGGGAUAACUUCGGGAAACCGGAGCUAAUACCGGAUAAUAUUUUGAACCGCAUGGUUCAAAAGUGAAAGACGGUCUUGCUGUCACUUAUAGAUGGAUCCGCGCUGCAUUAGCUAGUUGGUAAGGUAACGGCUUACCAAGGCAACGAUGCAUAGCCGACCUGAGAGGGUGAUCGGCCAAACUGGAACUGGGAACCGGUCCAGACUCCUACGGGAGGCAGCAGUAGGGAAUCUUCCGCAAUGGGCGAAAGCCUGACGGAGCAACGCCGCGUGAGUGAUGAAGGUCUUCGGAUCGUAAAACUCUGUUAUUAGGGAAGAACAUAUGUGUAAGUAACUGUGCACAUCUUGACGGUACCUAAUCAGAAAGCCACGGCUAACUACGUG